rnacentral:rRNA from 1 species
AACGAACGCUGGCGGCAUGCCUAACACAUGCAAGUCGAACGAAGCCUUCGGGCUUAGUGGCGCACGGGUGCGUAACGCGUGGGAAUCUGCCCUUGGGUCUGGAAUAACAGUUAGAAAUGACUGCUAAUACCGGAUGAUGACUUCGGUCCAAAGAUUUAUCGCCCAAGGAUGAGCCCGCGUCGGAUUAGCUAGUUGGUGAGGUAAAAGCUCACCAAGGCGACGAUCCGUAGCUGGUCUGAGAGGAUGAUCAGCCACACUGGGACUGAGACACGGCCCAGACUCCUACGGGAGGCAGCAGUGGGGAAUAUUGGACAAUGGGCGAAAGCCUGAUCCAGCAAUGCCGCGUGAGUGAUGAAGGCCUUAGGGUUGUAAAGCUCUUUUACCCGGGAUGAUAAUGACAGUACCGGGAGAAUAAGCCCCGGCUAACUUCGUGCCAGCAGCCGCGGUAACAC